CAGCCACAGAGAUAGGCUUGCCUCUGCCUCCUAAGUGCUACAAUUAAAGUUAUUUGAAGGAUCUGAUUGUCAUUCUCACCACACACAUGUGUCCAAGGCAAAGUAGCUGUGGCCAUGGAAAGAACAUGGGGAGAGAGAAUUAUUCAAGAUCUACAGAAAAUAGCACCAGUCCUGCAGUUCCUGUACUUAGAAGGCAGAAGCAGGCAGAUCCAGAGCUGAGUUCCAGAGCAGUUUUCUGCUGUUGCUGCUGUUGUUUGAUGUGUUUAAAGGCACAUACCACCACCACCAAGCCCUAGUUUUUCUAUAUACGUGAGCUACAAGCGUUCAAAAUGAACAUGGAAAAAACAUCAUCCAGAAUGGACAUGACUACUAAGUGACUUCUGGAGGGCCCUAGAGACCCAGUUUCUGACACUGUAUUUUUACUGGCAAAUAUCCCACAAGCUAGAACUUGUGGGAUAUCCCACAAGUGGGAUAUCCCAUUUGCCAGUGGGAUAUUUGCUGCAUUGAUUCAGGCUUUGCCGUUUAUCUGAGCACUUGGUUCUCAGAAGGAGAAAAAAAAAACAUUGCUGAGUUGCACACCACAAAUGCUGCACCUUAGUCAACAGGAAGACAUCAGUCUGGGAGGCAGAAGGGGCCUCUUGCUCAGAGCACAGAGCCUGGGGUUGGAACUGUGGUUGCCAUAGAAGCAUUCUUGGCUUAUUUCAUUCUACUUUGUGAAGGAGGAUAAUACUUUCUAGCCCAUAAGAGAGUGGUCUUGUUAGAAAUGAUGUGUGUAACACUGGAUAAUAAAUGAUAACUAUUAUGAUUUUCUUGACCACUUUGAAUGGAUUUCUUACUGUCUCUAUUUCUGUGUCUCUUUUAAUUAUAUGCCUGUCUAUUUGUCAUCAAGAUGAAGAUUCACAUUAUAUAUGCAUAUAAGCAUGUAUGUAUAUCAUGCAUUACACAUAUACAUGCAUGUACACAUACAUGCAAUUGCUUUUUUCAUCUUUCUAUUUUCCCUACAAAAAAGCAGUUUCUCAACAAUCAGAAUGCAUUUACAUUAAAAUAGUUUAAUUAGAGAGUGGCUAUUUCCUUGGGCUGCAAAGGUAGCCUAUGUCCCAUAAAAUCUACUCUUUAAGAUAUUUUAAUGGUAAAAUUUUAUUUUUAAUCACACUUGUUAUGUACACAUUUUAAAAACUCUGCCUAUAACAGGUAAUGCACUUCUAACGUCUCCUGAAGAUAGUUUUGGUAUCACUUGAUUAUAUUCUCAGAUUCCAAAUCCAGUUAGCAGUUUGGAAACCGAAGCUGAAAUUUUCUGGCUUGCCUACAAUUAUGCAUCAUGUCUUCAAAAGAUGGCAUCCUUGCUGUGGUCCUGCGUAAGCAGGAAGAGAACGUUUAUAAUAACUUUGAAUAAACAGGUGGAGUCCCCAAAAUGUUUUAUUUGUCACAACUAAUAAUUCCCAAGAAUUAACAAGCCUGUUUGAGAAUCUGAUCUUCUCAGGGGCUAGCCUUUCUCCAUGUGAAAUAUUACAUCACUUGUCAUAUAUAUCAAUCAAUUGAGAAAGUUGUUCCUUGUAUAAUAAAUUUAACAUUUGAAGAGAUCACAAUAA